CGAAAGCCUGACGGAGCAAUACCGCGUGAGGGAUAAAGGCCUUCGGGUUGUAAACCUCUUUUAUCAAGGAGGAAAUUUUGACGUGUACUUGAUGAAUAAGCAUCGGCUAACUCCGUGCCAGCAGCCGCGGUAAGACGGAGGAUGCGAGUGUUAUCCGGAAUUAUUGGGCGUAAAGCGUCUGUAGGUGGUUUGAAAAGUCCAUGGUUAAAACUUGAAGCUUAACUUCAAAGAUGCCAUGGAAACUCUUAAACUUGAGUAUGGUAGGGGUAAAGGGAAUUUCCAGUGGAGCGGUGAAAUGCGUAGAUAUUGGAAAGACCACCGACGGCGAAGGCACUUUACUGGGCCAUUACUGACACUAAGAGACGAAAGCUAGGGGAGCAC
rnacentral:rRNA from 1 species